UUAUUUGAAUGUCCCCUGUGUGUCAUGGAGCUAACAGCUAACACAUAACCCAUCACUCCGCCCAUUCCAAGUGUUUUUUUGAUGUGCUUUAUGCAUAUUAACUCAUUUAAUGUUCAUAAUGACCCUUCUGAGCACAUGAAAACCUCAGGGUGGAGAAGUUAUGCAAUUGCCUGAGGUCACACCGCUUGUCAACACCAGGGCAUGACAGAUUUCAAAUCCAUAUUAUAGUCUGACUCCUAAAUUGAUACUUUCUCUAUUGUGACACACUAUUAUCCAACCCUAUACUACGUUACUCCGUACCUUAUUCCAUGACUUUCAGCUAUCCUGGAGUGUGUACCCAGACAGGGAGCCUAGCUGUGUGUUCUAGAGCUCACUAAGUGGUUCUAGUACCAUUACUAUUAUGACACUACCUUUGGUCUAACUUUGGCAAAGUGGUCUAAGAGGGGAGCCCUGCUCUUGUGGAGGUCUCCCUCUCCGUGAUUCAGGGCCGGAAGUCCAUGUCCCGCCCCCAAGAUGUAGCUUGUGCUGCUUCAUCCUUCACUACUUCCUAUUGUUCCUCCCAGAGAAGUUCUGGAACACAGUACCAACAGUGGCAGCAUCACUGAGAACUUGGUGAUUCUAAUGCAAUGCUACACUUGGAGAACCAAGAGAGGGACCAGAGGCGCCUGCUGGAGUGGCAGUCCAGUCACAUCUCUUUCCAGGAGCCAGAUGGGCAGCCAAAGAGAGAAGCCUCCAGCUAUGUAGCAGACAAGUAGAGAAGGAAAGGUCCAUGAGCCUCCUUAUCACCCUGCAGCUGGCACAACAUCUGGACAACAGAACAAGGCAACAGCACAGAUACCUGCACCUCCCCAACCCCAACAUGCAUGUUUGUCCAUUUAGUGCUAAUUAUAGUAUUGGUUUGUAAUCCCUGCUAUAAAAAAAACUAUAGUCCCUCCCUCUACUUACUUGUUCUAAAUGACCUCUUUCAAAAGAUUCACUGCUU
rnacentral:lncRNA from 1 species